CCUACGGGUGGCAGCAGUGAGGAAUAUUGGUCAAUGGACGAGAGUCUGAACCAGCCAAGUAGCGUGAAGGAUGAAUGCCCUAUGGGUUGUAAACUUCUUUUAUAUGGGAAUAAAAUGUUCCACGUGUGGGAUUUUGUCUGUACCAUAUGAAUAAGGAUCGGCUAACUCCGUGCCAGCAGCCGCGGUAAUACGGAGGUUCCGAGCGUUAUCCGGAUUUAUUGGGUUUAAAGGGAGCGUAGGUGGAUUGUUAAGUCAGUUGUGAAAGUUUGCGGCUCAACCGUAAAAUUGCAGUUGAAACUGGCAGGCUUGAGUACAGUAGAGGUGAGCGGAAUUCGUGGUGUAGCGGUGAAAUGCUUAGAUAUCACGAAGAACUCCGAUUGCGAAGGCAGCUCACUGGACUGCAACUGACACUGAUGCUCGAAAGUGUGGGUAUCAAACAGGAUUAGAUACCCGGGUAGUC
rnacentral:rRNA from 1 species